rnacentral:rRNA from 1 species
CAACCUCCCACCCGUGUUUAUUUUACCUUGUUGCUUCGGCGGGCCCGCCUUAACUGGCCGCCGGGGGGCUUACGCCCCCGGGCCCGCGCCCGCCGAAGACACCCUCGAACUCUGUCUGAAGAUUGUAGUCUGAGUGAAAAUAUAAAUUAUUUAAAACUUUCAACAACGGAUCUCUUGGUUCCGGCAUCGAUGAAGAACGCAGCGAAAUGCGAUACGUAAUGUGAAUUGCAAAUUCAGUGAAUCAUCGAGUCUUUGAACGCACAUUGCGCCCCCUGGUAUUCCGGGGGGCAUGCCUGUCCGAGCGUCAUUUCUGCCCUCAAGCACGGCUUGUGUGUUGGGCCCCGUCCUCCGAUCCCGGGGGACGGGCCCGAAAGGCAGCGGCGGCACCGCGUCCGGUCCUCGAGCGUAUGGGGCUUUGUCACCCGCUCUGUAGGCCCGGCCGGCGCUUGCCGAUCAACCCAAAUUUUUAUCCAGGUUGACCUCGGAUCAGGUAGGGAUACCCGCUGAACUUAAGCAUAUCAAUAAGCAGAGGAA